rnacentral:rRNA from 1 species
CAUGAACAUUGUCCGUUUCUUUCCGUGAUUCUACUUGCUGUACAAGAAGUGAGGGCCGGCGCCUUCGUCUAGUGGUUGGUUGCGGCAGUAGUGCGGGUCUAAGCUUAACUUAAGAAGGCCUUCGUAGAGAGGAGGGGAACAGCAGUCGCCGGAGCCGCACGCCCGGCUGCCUGGUUGGGUUCGAGGGAGGGAGGGAGAGUGUUGUCCGCGGUUAUUAGGGUUGGGGUUGGGGUUUCGGUCUCUAUUGGGGUCGCUCAGCCGCCGUUGAGGUUGCGGCGGCGCCGGACACCAAGACCACCUCUACCCGCGGGGGUGCAUGGCCGAGCGCCGCCGCCAGUGCCCGGGUAGCCCGCGGCUCCGGCCCAAGGAGCAGCGCGCCGUCGGCGGGGGCGGCGCCCACGUCCUCCUCCUCCCCCUCAUGCCCGCGAAGCAGCUGUCGCUGGAAAUGCUGGAGGGCAGCCGCGGGGACGCCGCGGAGCGCGUCCCGCUCGUCCGGUCCGGCCCGCACCGGCAGCGGCUGCGCCUCCGCCUCCCGGGGGAGCUGGAGAGCGCGGAGCUGCAGGGGCGGCGAGAGCUGGUCUAAAACUCGGUUAACCCGGACUGCUUACGUUACACGCCCCUCACCUCCGAGGAGUUCGUAUAGCUCCUUGGUCUCAAGCCGGGCCUGCGCCCGCAGUUGUGCCACGAGCAGUAGUGCAGCGAGCUCAGCUUUGGCCUCCGCAACGUUCUGAGGACAUUUACCUACAGGUGCCUCCCCCGAGCCCUUAACGAAAGACUGCACUUCGGGCCACUAUGAGCUUAACCCGGUAUACACGUACAACCUAAACACUUUAGCCUAGAUAGAAGUCUAACAUGUCGACCGAGGUGUAACCAGAGGGUCCUCAUGGGAGGGCCUUAAUGGGAACAUGGUUACUUCUCAUCAUGGAAUGCCGGAAAAGCAUGCUGAUUAGAACACCAUUAUGUUCGUUGGUCACCAUGUACACCUAGCUUCGCGGGACUAAUAAAACGAACACCACUACAAAAUGACUAUCUAGGACCUACAACGAGUGUCCAAGUAUGUCUCGAACGUCUAGAACAGUUAAGGGAAGGUUUCUUCAAUGACCAGGAACAAUGUGUAGUAGUAUUACUAGUACAACUCCCAGAAAGCCAACAAGUCUCUACGUUAGGACUACGACAAGAAAACUGUGUACUUUUGUGCUACUUCGCGUAUCCCUUUCCCUUAACCAGUUGGCCGAUAUGACGACACUGACCACCACUUUCGUAUACGUAUCCACUGGUUCUUGACGUUCAGCAAAAACGAGGACCAGUAUGUCUACCAGUAUACCCCGAAGAGGUACAGUUAUGGUUACGUGAUUAACAGCCUCUAGUAACACAUCCCGUACCUUCACGUUAUAACCUGUUAUCUCGACCACCGUUGUACUUCCUGAUGAAGGUUUGGUGUAUGUUUAAGAACCUCUACAGCGGUGUGCACGAUUAAGGUUACGUACCUUCUUAGUUGGAUACCGGGUUCGUAUACGAAACACCUAUAGAGUUCUUAGCUUUCCGAUCUCUUCGGAGGUAAGACGUUAGGUAUCUCUUACCACGAGUUUGAAACAAACUAUAUCAAAGUUUCUGAAUGACACUACAUCUGUCCUUUAACACCUAAGGACGUAGGAAAUUACAAGCGGAGGUACAACUAGUAGACUUGAGAGUUGUAUUUGAAGGGUUCCUAAAGAGGAAUCUUUACAAGUCACCUUCAACGCUACUUAAAUACAGAUCGGACGUCGUCACUGGCUGAAGAGUUGCCUUUUCAAACUUAGCUCGACGCCUUGUGUAAAGUAUAAAACCACCCCGCAUCGCAUACGGGUUCGGUCCUCGAGCGGCCGGGAGCAGUAGCGCCGUUCGCGGGAGCGGCGGCCACCAGACCGCUAGCGCAUACGGGAGUCCUCCUCGUUACCGUUGGUCGGGAUCCUAAGAAGAGGCUCUGGGCCAGUAGGGGUAGAGACUCACGUACGUCCACAGCAUUCUAGGCUCUAACAAGUACUUGACACUUGAGGGCUCUAACGAGUACUAACGUAUAAACACUUGAAACGAGACAUAUGUGUGUUGUGUUCCCUCUUCGAGGGCCACGAUGCAACACAAGGAGGAUUCGAUGUCCUUGAAAGCUGGAUCUCCAGGUACACGUCCACUUGGCUUAUGUCUCUGAAAACGACUUGGCUGCGAUGGCAAGGUAAGAUUAGAUUUUAUCUUUGGACGACGCUAGACCCCAAUUCUCCCUCGUACAAUUUUAACGA